CUAAGACAAUAAGCAAUAAUCAUGAUAAAUAAGGAAAUUAGGUACUCUGCUAGACAGUGAUACUUGCUAUGGAAAAAAGAUAAUCAUUCAAGCCUUGAAGGAAGUAGGGGAGUGAGCUAAGGGGCUCUUUGGGGAAAGAGGGUUCUAGGCAGAGGGACAAAGCCAGGGCAAAGACCCUAAGGCAGGAAUGCUGAGGGGCCAAGGAAAACUAGGAGACCCGAGGGUGCCGCAGAACAGGUGAGAGGGACAGUGAUGGGCCAGGAGGGACAGAAGCCAGGUGGUCUAGAGCCUGUGGGCCAUGGUCGCCAGUUUUAGUACGCGAUGCAUUAUUUGGGUCGCACCUCAUAGCACCCAUAUGAUAGAUCUUCCUAUUAUCCCUUUUUAUAGAAGAAUAAACUGAGAUGCACAGCCAAAAGCCCUGUUUAUUUUACAGCUGAGAACAUUUAUAUCCAGAGAGGAGUGACUUGGUCAAGACCACAGAGUGGGAAAACGGCUCUUACUGGAGAUCUCUUGAUUUUCAGUCCCAAACUUUCUCCACGUCUCUGCUCCAGAAAGGAAUUCCUUUGAAGGAGGCUACCUCGGGGCCCCUCCUGAAGAUUCCCUUGUAGAUCACAGUGCUCUUAGCAUUGUGCUUUGCUGCCAGGUUUUCUCUGUGUGGACUGCAGAAUCUCCUUCUUUUUAUUGAAGCCUAGUUGAUCCUCAAUAUAAUAUUAGUUUCACAUGUACAACGUAGUGGUUCAACCGUCUUAUAGAUGGUACUCAGAAUUUCCUUCUUAGGAAGAAGGUGGAGGUGGAAAAUCUGAAAGAGAACUCACUUGUUAAACACACAGGUUAAUAAAUGCUGGAUGCGGUCAUGCUGGAAUAUGUCCAUUGACAGGUACUGAUUGCGUCCUGUGUUCCUGGUCCUCUUAUCAGCCACUGACGUGUUCAUUCCUUUAUUCCUCACCACCACCCUCAGGGGUAGGUAGUGUAUGGUUAUGGUCCUCAUUUUAUAGGUGAGGAAAUUGAAGCACACGAAGGUGAGAUAACGUGCCCAAAUCCGUCCCAUGAGUGGAGCAUUGAGCUGGACUCAAAGCUCAAAGUCUGUGCUCUUAGCGCCUCUGCUCCAUGGGUUGACCAGACCCAAAGGAGGUUACACCUGCUGCAGGAUUUGAGUCACCAGAAGCAUGUGUCCCUUCCCUCGAAGCACCUGAGGAAGUAGAUGAGAGCUGCCUUUCAUUUCUCCCUGUUCUUACCUAGAAAACACUCUUUUCUUGGAACUUCCCGUCAGACACAGGGACUUGCGGAGCUUAAUUGGCAAGAUGACUUUCAAAUACCUCCCUAUGAAAAAAGUCCCACUAGAUCCCAUCGUCCUUUCUCCCAUCCCCUCUCUGACUUAAAACAUGACUCUUUCUACUUAGAAUUUUUUGAGGAGGGAAAAAAACCACCCCCACGGAUUGAAAGCAGGACGCCAUACCCACUGAUCUAUGCAUCAUCGUGAUGGUGAUUCGCAUUUAUGCCGUGUGAACACUUGCCAGAGGCUGCCACACACGGUCAUUGUAUCAUUCGGCCCCAUGGGAGUUGUAGGUUGUCCUCAUUUUAUAGGUGAGGAAGCUGAGACGAAUUGAGGAAAGUGAAAUGACUUGCUUAGUCACAAUACUGAUAAGGUAGGUGGAGAGAGACGGGUCGCCAAGUCCAGAUGCUAUGCUGGCUGAGCAGCUGCACUCAAAACACAGCCCUUCAGAUACGGGACCCUUUCAUGGGAGGGAUCCCUGUAUUCUGUCUUCCCUCUUGAAAACAAGCACAAAGAGCUAUGGCACGUUCCGGGGCGGGGUGGGGGGGGGCGUCGUCACUUUAGGUGCAAAGGAUAUUAGUAAAACCUGUUUCUAAGACCGAGUCUCCACUAAAAAGAUGGUUUUCCUUCUCUGGGAUCUGGCCGGCUGUGUCAGUUUCACUCAUUGACUCCACUGGCCGCCUUUGGGAGUUUGUGUUGAUAUUGUUAUUGUGAAAAAGCACGUCUUGGUCCCCACCAUCUAUAUAUAUGCCUGCAGCGAAUUUUUUUCCUCUCUCUUCCAUUUCGUGCAACUUUCACUUACAGCCCGCUUGGCAUAAUUGACACAUUGGCUCAGGCCUCCAAGACUGCCAACUUGAAGCCUUGGAUCAGUGAAAUCAGUUAUGACAGAUGUGAUUAUUUACAAGAAAAUAGAAGUCACUAUAAUUAGACCUUUGAAGGAGAACAUUUGGGUAGAGAAUGAGAAAGCCCGAGUAUAAUCUGGCAUGAUGUGUUUGGACGUCAGCCCUGAGCCAGUCCCUCUCUGCUCUGUGAAAGGAGGUGCUGGGGUGACCGACACCCCCCACAGAUACUGCCAGUUAUCAGUGCUCAGGACACAGCUCUUGGGAGAUGGAAAGGUGAGGUGAUGGAGCAAGCCUUAGUCUUGGCACCAGCAGUGGUUUCCGUUCUCAGCUCAGCCACUUGUCCUCAGCAUCGAUUUCUUCUUUCAGUUGUAAAAUGGGGAUAAGAAAGAAGCCCCAUGUCAUCACAGGGUCGUGAAACUUAAAAGCGAUGCAGUGGGACAGGCGUCUAGCAUUGUGCCUGGCAUGAGGCAACAGGCAGAAAGCACCGAGCUGUAGAGGUUCUUACCCCUCUUGAGCAUGACACUUAAUCUCCUGGACCCUUGCUUUGGAAAAUAUAGAUGGAACCAUCUCAUACAGUGGAUGUGAGCGUUGGAGGAAAUGAAGUGUGAAAGGGGCUACGUAACCAUUUGUGGCUAUUUCAUGUCUCCAUCUUCCUAUUAUUUUUUUAAAAUAUCCGUGGUAGUUAUUUAUUCCAUGCAUCACAGGCCAGGCAUCAUGCAGUAAGAAAGAUCCAUUUCUUCCUUAGAUGCGAUAGGGAUGGUGCCGGGGACCCACUAUAGUUUUAGGGCCCUAGAAUAUGUUUCAUUUAAAUUUCUUUUAAAAUUAGAAGAAAUACAUGCAUAUAAUAAUUAUGAAUAUAAAAUAAGCUAUUAAAAUAAUAAAUAUGAUAAACAUAAUGAUUAAUCCAGCCUGGAAUAUAUUUGUCUUUAUGCCAGUGUAAUCUUACAACCUAAUUUUUGAGGUUGUUUGUUUAUUUGUUCGUUUUAAAUACAGGAAGGGACCCACAAAGGCAAAAGCCUAGGGCUCACAAAAAUCAUGAAGCAGCCUUGGUUGGAGGAACUUUACAAAUGCUAGCCCAGUCAUUCUCAGGAAGGUUUUGUUUUUAAUUCUCAUUUUACAGAUGAGGGGAUCUAAGCUUUGGAAGGUUAAGAAACUCAUCCAAAGUCACGUGGCAAGUAAAACAUUAUACUAGUCCGGUUGAACUAACAGCUUUAUCAAUCACCAAAUUUUAAUAGCUUCACACCCUAGAAGGCUAUUUCCGGCUCAGACCACAAUUCAGAGUGUAUGUCUGGCACGUGGUGUUCCACACAGUGAUUCAGGGACCCAGGCCCCUCCCUCUUGUGGUUCUGUCUCCCUCUAGUCUUGGGAGCACUUUCCAUUCAGUUGGUGGACAGAGAAAAGACAGAACCACAAGUGGGAGGUUUUUAGGGCCCAGAGCUCACAUCAUUUCUAUUCGAAUUCCAUUGGCCAAAAGGCUGUCACAUGACCACUUGUCACCACAAAGAAGCCUGGGAAAUGUAGUCCAGCUGCUUCCCAGGGAGGAAAAGGAGACGGUGAAUACUGGGGAGCACUCUCCACCCCUGACACGGUGACAGUGUUGGAUGCCAGCCCAGGUCUUUUGUACACAGAGUCCAUGCUCUUUCCACUCAGCUGGUUCCUGUCACUUUUAACUACCACAAAGUCCCUUUAUGGGCCCUUUUCUCCUGCCAGACUUGCCUACUCACCAUUCCUAGCACCAGACCUUUGCCUGCUCAGUCCCAGUUGCUGUAAUAGCAGGAGCACUAGGAAGGGAGAUGCACCAGGAGGAAGCUCCUCCCUGCCCUGGAUUCGCUUGCUGGUUACCUUGAGAAGGCUGCCUCCAGGAGAUAUGCUCUCUGUAUCUCCCAAUCCCAGGAUCGCUGGGUGCUUCUGAGCACGUAGUGCAGCCACUGCCUCAGUGUGAGAAAGGGGGCUGCACGGAGGGUUUCAGAGGCAAGAGGAAAGAGGUUUGAGCUGGAGUCUUGGCUGGACCGUCAGUCGUGAACUAGGAAUCAGCAGGAAGGGGACAGUACCUGAUGAUCUUGCAGCACAAAAGUGCUGCAGGCCUGGUCAUUUGCCAAAAGUGACUCUUGUGGUCUGCCCUUACCCCAUCAAUGCAUGUUGUCUUUGAACCCCAUGAUCCUGAAGAACAAAGCUUCUGGAGCCAGCUGGAGGCUAGAUGGCCCGUGGGCACAGUCCAUAACCACUGGGCCAGCCCAGUGUCCCUGGAAGUGUUCCAGUAAUGCCAGAGUUGGUGGGCGUCCAGCUCCUGCAGGACCAGGCCACAGCUGUCUGUUAUAAAGCCUCCGAGUUGCUAUGGAAUAAAUUCCUCCUCCAGGAAGCCCUCAGUGAUCCCCACCUCUUCAGAACUCAAGGGCACUUGUUGCCUUUCCACCUAAGGGCCCUGCAUUUGUUUCUUACAUCUCUUUCUGUCACCCUCCCUUUAUCUGCUACUGGCCUCAGAGGCAAGAGAGCUGAGAAGGUGGCCACAGCCAAGUCAUCAGGGAUGCUUCUGAGCAUUUUGUAGGCAUCACAGACUCCACAGCAUUUAGUCAGUUCUAACAUUUCAUCCAGAGUCAUACCCAGGACCGGUUGAUCGUGUGAAGAGAAGUGGUACCCAGGUUCAUUCCUUCUUUCUCUUUGUUGAGAAAAGUACAGUUUUUUAUUUAUGUGAUGAGAAAAGCACACUAAGGAGAAAAAGAUUUCGCCUCUAGUCAUCUUGAAAUGUUCAUGGUCACCCCCUGGUCUCUGUAAGGUGAAUACAGUCGCAUUGUGCCUGUGUCCAAAACAAAACAGCUCCGGUCAGACCUGGUCACAUCCCCUGGCUGCCACUCGCCAGCUGAUUGACCCUGGACAUGUUUCCUCAUUUCCCUCUGCCUGUUUCCUCGUCUGUCAAAUCGGGAUCCGGCUGUGGCUAGCUCAGGGGGUGGCUGUGAGUUUUAAAUGAGAGCCUAUAGAGUCGCAGUUGGCAUGCAGCUCUCCUCCCAGCCCCCGUUAGUCUCCCACGCAGGCGCAAAACCCUGCUUCAAAAUGCGUCUUGCAAGAAGACUUGGCAUCCAGGACGCGCCCUGGGAAGAAUUUGUUUUUGUUUUAAUGCCGGGGACGUUUGCAUGAAAACAGGAUCUUCCGUUGCUUAGGAAUUGAUCAACUCCUGCUGCUGCUUUUCCCCUGCCGAAGUGCCAGCCCCAUGUUUGUCGCAAGCAAAUGGGUAACAGUGGGGACGGCUGGGACCUCCACAGAUAAGGGAUUGUGGCCUCUCAGGGAGGGUUACAGAGCCCAAGGAAUCGAAAGACUCAGGAAUCCGUCCCAGGCUGAAAAGAGCUCGCAGGUAAAGGGUGCCUUGGCUGAGGGACAUGAGUGAAGAUUUUCUGUGGGUCUGAUUUGUUCCGGAUGCUCGGAGAAGAGAAGAAGAGGCCAGGUGUUUAAGACGUGGCCUCCACCUGCAGGGAUCAAAUGUAACAAAGAAGACAGCAGGCCUGAGUGAUGGGAACUGGUUUAAAGUGUAGCGGCUGGGAGUGAGAAGCUGAACAGACUCAUUCAGCACCCAGCUUCUGUAGAGCUACCCCAGAACCUCUCUGCUCCCCAGUUUCCUCACCGACAGAAGAGCACCCCUCACUCAGAGUCAUUAUGAGGAUUGAAUGAGAUGCUGUAUGUUAAGAGGUUGGCAUCAAUAAAGCCAAACUGUUAAUAUCAAUGAUAACCGUUCAUCAUAAUACCCGAUGCUCUCCAUCCUAAGGACGAGAUAGACAGAUGACCCUGAGGGCUGUUUAGAGGAAGGACUUGAACUUGAUUUGAUACCUGUGUCCGCUGCAGACAAUUCUUGAGGCGGUUUGGGGACAUUUCCCAAGACAUCGAAGUGCAAUUGCCCACAUGAACUUGGAGGAGGGUUUCCAGGACUCCUGUUCCAUAGGGCACCCCCUCCCCGGGACCCAUUUGUGGCCCCAGUCUGAUCCCACGGGCAUCACAGAAAGGACAGAGAUGAGAAGAGCCGGGAAUGACAACUCACCCCAUCAGGCCCUUCCUCUUGCCUCCGUGCUUGGCUUCCAGAAGGCAGUUGGUUGUCUGUGUCCCAAUGCCCAGGAAAAGCCAGACACCUUUCUCUUCUGGGUCCUUAAUAUAUGCUAAUCAAAGCUGAGCGUGCGCAAAAAAUAUCUGCUUGGCAGAAGCUCACUCCCUUGCCUUAGCCUGCUCGCCCUCCCCAGACUUCUCCUCCCAUCUCCUAUCCAAGGUCGUCCAUAAAUCCAGCUUUCGGAGCCCUUGGGGGGCUGGCAAGGCUGCCAUGGACCUCAGUCACAUCGCAGUGGAAACAAUUGAAAACCACUUGGCAAAACUCUGGGGUGACCUAAUGUUUUAUAGCAAGAAUACAUUUUUUUCCUCCCCAUUCUUAUUCAAGCCCUGGGGGGAAGCCAGCUGCUCUCCAGGCUCUGUCAGGCUGGUACCCAAUUUCCGGACUCUUCCCCCUGCCCCCGUCUCAGAUCACCCCAAAGGGGGAGGCCAGGCUGCCUGGCUGGCUUUGGCCUCCUUGCAGGCCCUGGAGAAACUGAUCCAGCCUUACCUUCCUGACUCGCCUGGCUGCCUUAGUCCCCUCAGAGGUGAGGCUCUGGCCGUGGGGGCCUGUGGGGAGGCCCAUAUAUGGAGCCUGGGGAAUGUGGGCUCUGGCAGGUGGCCUGGAAAAAAAUGGCUGUGUUCUGAGGGUGAACUCCACUGCAUUAUAAAUAGCACCGCCUCCCUCCCUUUGCAACUUGCUGUGUCUGUCACUGCAGGGCUGACAAUUUACAUUCAAGGGGACCGAACAGGACAAGGGGGCGGGGCGUGGGGUGGGGGGAGAUGCCAGAUCCUGCACGGGGUUCAGCUGCUGCCUUGGGAUUGAUAAAGAGAAUCGUCACCAGCCAGACGGUGGGGCUGAGAGUGGGACACAAUCGGGGUGGCAGAAUGACUACUGAUUUCAUGCAUCUUUGUAAGCACUGGGGGAAGACUCAGAGAAGCUCUGACUCUAGGAGAUGAUUUUAGAGAAGCUUUAGAGCCUUUGCAAAAACAAUAAUAAAAAAUCAGCUGCCUUGGAGUUCCUGCUGUGGCACAGUGGGUUAAGGCUCCAGCGUUGCAACAGCUAUGGCUCGGAUUCGAUCUCUGGCCUGGGAACUUCCAUAUGUCACUGGUGCAGCCAAAAAAAAAGAGUCGGUUGCUUCAAAAUACAAAAGGUUUCUCUCUGAUUCUUAAAGGUUAGCCAUUCUAGCCUCCAAAUCCAAACCUUAAAGGUUAGCCAUUCUAGUCUCCAAAUCCAAACCUACCAGAUGCCCGCACAGCCCAUGCAGUGAGCCUUCCUACAGAGGAUUUCUCGGUGGGCUCUUGUGUCUCUCUGACACUGAGGAAGCAGGGCACCUGCUCUUUCUCUGCAAACCUCAGCACGUUCUGCUCAUCACGAGGAGGGUGAUGAAUUCAGAAGGCGUUGGAAAAUAAAGAAACAAAGGAGUGUGCAGCCCUGGCUGUAGAAAACCACCCAGUCAUUCACACCUGGGUGAUGGCGAUGGGUGGGAGGUGUUUGAGCAAGUUCUGAGUUCUGGAGGAGGGGCCGGCCGGCUCUGUGGGGCCCUCGUUUGUGUCUCUGGCCCUUCGGGUGCUCCUGGGGACCAGCAGGUCUCCCGAUGGGCUGCCCCUCCCUCCUUGGUAGGAAUGAGAGGAGCUCUGCUGGGUCCCAUCAUGCUCGGGAGUGUGUUGGGGGCAGGCACCCCACCUCGGUGGGCAUUGGUGCCUCGUCUCUGAGCAGACAGAGCUGGCUACGGUCACUUGUGUCCUUUGUUUCAGCGCUUGUGCCUUUUGCGUCCAUAGCAAUGAUAUGGAAAUGGAUUAAUUGAUGGCUUUGUUCUCUUCUACCUUUAAAAUUCUCACUUCUUGUGUUCUAUGGGGCAACAUUUGAAAUUAAGCAUGUAGGGAGUUCCCGUUAUGGCUCAGUGGAAAUGAACCCGACUAGUAUCCAUGAGGAUGUGAAUUCGAUCCCUAGCCUCACUCAAUGGGUUAAGGAUCCUGUGUUGCUGUGAGCUGUAGUGUAGGUUGCAGAAGCAGCUUGGAUCUGGAGUUGCUGUGGCUGUGGCGUAGGCCAGCAGCUGCAGCUCUGAUUUGACCCCUAACCUGAGAACUUCCAUAGGCUGCAGCUGUGGCCAUAAAAAGCAAGGAUCAGAAGAAAUUAAGCAUGUAAAAAAACAAAAAAUUAAGGCGGAGCAGGCAAACUUCUGUAUCUUUUGGAUGCUUCUCCAAAGAACAUCUCCGGACCCCACAGAAUGGAGGCACUGAGUAGACGUGAGGUGCGAGUGGGUGGACAUCGGAACUCGAGUCUGGGUUGGAUUUGGAAUGACCACCCAAGGGAGCAGUCUUAGAACUCUGCUUCAGGAGUCCUGCUGGGAGCAAUGCCUCAGAGGCCAAAACAGAAAGGGCCUUGCGGACCCUUCUUCCUACUCCAGUCAAAGCAGCUCCACUUUCACCUGUUUUAAAAUUCCAUUAAAAAAAAAAAAAA
rnacentral:lncRNA from 1 species